AACCCAUGGUUCGGGCACUCUCUCUGGUACUCCUUGUACCUCUCCCAAGCUUCAUUAAAAGGUUCAUCAGACUUCUGCUUGAAAUUGGAGAUCCUGUGCCGUAGAGC
rnacentral:snoRNA from 1 species